rnacentral:rRNA from 1 species
UACGUAGGGUGCGAGCGUUGUUCGGAAUUACUGGGCGUAAAGCGCACGUAGGCGGCUUUGCAAGUCAGAGGUGAAAGCCCGGGGCUCAACCCCGGAAUUGCCUUUGAGACUGCAUCGCUAGAAUUGUGGAGAGGUAAGUGGAAUUCCGAGUGUAGAGGUGAAAUUCGUAGAUAUUCGGAAGAACACCAGUGGCGAAGGCGACUUACUGGACACAUAUUGACGCUGAGGUGCGAAAGCGUGGGGAGCAAACAGG